AUCUUUUUGUAGUUCAUAUGCCUGAUGAUGGAGUUCAUGCUGUUGUGUGAGAUGUGCCCCCCUCAAAGCUUGUUAUGACAUCGGCCCAUUACCCGUCUGCCA
ensembl:snoRNA